AUAUUUUUUUACUGAUUUUUCCCUAAUUCUAUAAUAGUUGAGCUAGUAUAGAUUCAAAUUUCAACAAAAUCGAAUAGAUUUAGACGAUUUGACAAGUGUUUGAAUUUAGAAUUUUCUUAACCGCGUCAAAUAUGGUACGUCCACGGUACAAUAAUAAACUCCAAG